UACGUAGGGGGCAAGCGUUAUCCGGAAUUACUGGGUGUAAAGGGUGAGUAGGCGGCAUGGUAAGCCAGAUGUGAAAGCCUUGGGCUUAACCCGAGGAUUGCAUUUGGAACUAUCAAGCUAGAGUACAGGAGAGGAAAGCGGAAUUCCUAGUGUAGCGGUGAAAUGCGUAGAUAUUAGGAAGAACACCAGUGGCGAAGGCGGCUUUCUGGACUAAAACUGACGCUGAGGCACGAAAGCGUGGGGAGCGAACAGG
rnacentral:rRNA from 1 species